GAGGAGGAGAAGUGGCAGGUUAACCUGCAAGUUUCAAAGAGAAACAAGGAUAUCGAUACUAUAAAGGAAUAUGCCCUUUGUUAUACAACAAGUAGGCAAGGUUUUGUUCCUUGUACGCAGGGAUGGAUGGAGCCUUCCAUGGUGAUCAUGGACUUGCAAGCCCCUGCUCCUCCUGACACACCAAAUCAUGUAGGAACUGGGAAUUCGAGUGGAUAAUCUCAUUUUCUCGACCUUCUUUUUUGUUCCAACAGCACAAAGGCUUACUGCUAUUUUGAUACGACUGUCUUUAAACCAAAUGUGGCUACUUCUUACCUUCAGAACACUUUCCAGCUCCCCCUUUCCCUGUCUGUAGUUGUCUUUCUAGGGGUUCUGCUUGAGGUAAGGAACAGCAGGAAUGGUAGCACGGGUUGUUGCUUCGGACACAAUCUAAGGAGAGAGAGAUUAAAGCUGCUCUUUCUAAGACUGCGUAUGUAACCUUGUCAUUCUAUUGGAUUGACUGCAAAGUUCAAUGUCUGCGAGGUUUGUCCAGUUGACAUCAGAAUGACUGUCUUACCAUGGUAGCAUCAGACAUCAUUUCCACCAAGAUGAUGAGAGAUGUGCAGCUCAGGUACUUGGGUUCUUCCCACUUUAGAAAGAAAGAAG
rnacentral:lncRNA from 1 species